AGGGUGUAAACGCUGCGGACUUGGUGUUGGAGGCCCUUUGGGGGCAUUCAGUGCCGGAGAGAAGUUGUUAAGUCUGCUACUUGGGGAGUACGUCCGCAAGGAUGAAACUUAAAGGAAUUGGCGGGGGAGCACCGCAACGGGAGGAGCGUGCGGUUUAAUUGGAUUCAACACCGUAAAACUCACCAGGGAAGACUGUUACAUGAAGGCCGAGAUGAAGACUCUGCUAGAUUUUCAGAGAGGAGGUGCAUGGCGUCAGUGACU
rnacentral:rRNA from 1 species